UACGUAGGGACCAAGCGUUGAUCGGAUUUACUGGGCGUAAAGGGCGCGUAGGCGGUAUGACAAGUCACUUGUGAAAUCUCCGGGCUUAACUCGGAACGGCCAAGUGAAACUGUCAAACUAGAGUGCGGAAGGGGCAAUCGGAAUUCUUGGUGUAGCGGUGAAAUGCGUAGAUAUCAAGAGGAACACCUGAGGUGAAGACGGGUUGCUGGGCCGACACUGACGCUGAUGCGCGAAAGCCAGGGGAGCAAACGGG
rnacentral:rRNA from 1 species